rnacentral:tRNA from 1 species
GUGGGUAUAGCUCAGUGGCAGAGCAAAUGGUUAGCAUGCAUGAGGUUCUGGGUUCAAUCUCCAGUACCCUCA